GACCGCUCUGGUGGCUUAGUGGUUAGAGCGUCGGCCUCAGAUGCGAGAGGUCGUGGGUUCGAUCCUCGGCCGAGUCA